rnacentral:rRNA from 1 species
GACGAACGCUGGCGGCGUGCCUAAUACAUGCAAGUCGAACGAGAGCAACCGGUGCUUGCACUGGUCAAUCUAGUGGCGAACGGGUGAGUAACACGUGGGUAACCUGCCCAUCAGAGGGGGAUAACAUCCGGAAACGGAUGCUAAAACCGCAUAGGUCUUCGAACAGCAUGGUUUGAAGAGGAAAAGAGGCGCAAGCUUCUGCUGAUGGAUGGACCCGCGGUGCAUUAGCUAGUUGGUGAGGUAACGGCUCACCAAGGCCGUGAUGCAUAGCCGACCUGAGAGGGUGAUCGGCCACAUUGGGACUGAGACACGGCCCAAACUCCUACGGGAGGCAGCAGUAGGGAAUCUUCCGCAAUGGACGCAAGUCUGACGGAGCAACGCCGCGUGAGUGAAGAAGGUUUUCGGAUCGUAAAACUCUGUUGUUAGAGAAGAACAAGUGCUAGAGUAACUGUUAGCGCCUUGACGGUAUCUAACCAGAAAGCCACGGCUAACUACGUG